CUCUUAUCCAGAGCGGCGGAGGGACUAGGCCCGAUGAAGCCCGGCAACCUUCAAGGUAUUCCUUGAAAAGGUGCUAAUUCCUGCAGGUUAUUUUGAACCUGACAGAUAAGAG
rfam:Bacillus vireti LMG 21834 contig154, whole genome shotgun sequence.